rfam:Pongo abelii chromosome 5.
GGGAAACGAGCAGAGGGGCCAGCCUCAGACCCCACAACAAACUGGGGCA